rnacentral:rRNA from 1 species
UGCGAAAGCAGGUCAUAGUGAUCCGGUGGUUCUGAAUGGAAGGGCCAUCGCUCAACGGAUAAAAGGUACUCCGGGGAUAACAGGCUGAUACCGCCCAAGAGUUCAUAUCGACGGCGGUGUUUGGCACCUCGAUGUCGGCUCAUCACAUCCUGGGGCUGAAGUAGGUCCCAAGGGUAUGGCUGUUCGCCAUUUAAAGUGGUACGCGAGCUGGGUUUAGAACGUCGUGAGACAGUUCGGUCCCUAUCUGCCGUGGGCGCUGGAGAACUGAGGGGGGCUGCUCCUAGUACGAGAGGACCGGAGUGGACGCAUCACUGGUGUUCGGGUUGUCAUGCCAAUGGCACUGCCCGGUAGCUAAAUGCGGAAGAGAUAAGUGCUGAAAGCAUCUAAGCACGAAACUUGCCCCGAGAUGAGUUCUCCCUGAGACU